CCGCUACUUUUUCUCCUCUUUAUUCUGCAUUGUCUGGUCUGGUCAGGUGCUUGGUGGAGGGCGAAGAAGGCCUCUAAGUCCUACCGCCAACCGGGGGGGACUCCUAUCAGGUAUUGGUCUAUUCCUCGCACUCGCUCAAAAGCCGAAUGAUUUGUUGUUGCGGCUCAAAGUCUGCCUCGGACUUCAUGUUUACCUUUCUACUUCCAUUACCAAAUGCUUUCACAAUCCCCUUCCGCGAGCUUGGAUCGCUUGCAGCUACAGCAGCUGCUUCUUUGCCCCUGUAGUAGACUAAGGCGAUUUAAUCCCAUCACCAUUCCUUUCUCCAAACGAAAGAGAAGAAAUCUCUGUGGAAAAUGGAGCAUUUUCUCUUGUUCCAUUCCCUUGGAGGCUCCCAACCGUGGUCUUAACGUGGAAUUAGCCCAUGCCGCGAGACGGAGCGCCAAGAUCUUCGUACUGAAUCGGUUUUCACAUGAAUUGUACGACGAGGAAUUGCCCAAAAAAUCGCCAAUUCAGUUGAUGUCCAAUUAUACCGAAUUCCAGAACGACCUAAUCUUAGAUAAACUUAGAACCCAAAUGGAAGUCAUGCGUCCGAUCCCCUCGCCACCGGUUAGUCGAAAUAUAGUCGGACUAUUCGUUGUCUUUUUCUUUGUCGGUGUUGCUUUCGAUAAGCUCUGGACUUCGAGGAAUGUAAACCAAGCGAAUGGUGCGAAGAGUAGGCGUGGUGGCACCGGCUCCAGAGCCUGGCCACAAGUGCCGACGAGCUUUUCCUUGCUUUUGGAGAAGGAUUUACAGAGGAAAGAGUCGGUAGAGUGGGUGAACAUGGUUUUGGGGAAGUUAUGGAAGGUUUAUAGAGGUGGUAUCGAGAAUUGGAUCAUUGGGUUGCUUCAGCCAGUUAUUGAUGACUUGAAGAAGCCUGAUUAUGUUGACAGGGUUGAGAUUAGGCAGUUUUCGUUGGGAGAUGAACCGUUGUCGGUGAGGAACGUUGAGCGCCGGACUUCGCGUCUCGUUGAUGAUUUGCAGUACCAAAUAGGCCUUCGAUAUGCUGGCGAUGCACGAAUGCUGUUAAUGCUCUCACUAAAAUUUGGUAUUAUCCGCAUUACCGUGCCAGUUGGUGUUCAAGAUUUUGACAUUGAUGGGGAACUUUGGGUAAGACUACGAUUGAUACCAACAGAGCCUUGGGUGGGAGCUGUUUCAUGGGCUUUUGUUUCACUCCCAAGGAUCAAAUUUGAAUUGUCUGCAUUCCGCUUAUUCAAUUUGAUGGCUAUUCCUGUUCUCUCAAUGUUUUUGACAAAACUUCUCACCAAGGAUUUGCCUCGACUAUUCGUACGUCCAAAGAAGAUUGAUUUAGAUUUCCAAAAAGGAAGAUCAAUUGGUCCUGCUACUAAUGACUAUAAAUAUGGGAAAAUGCAAGAAGGAAACAACAAUUUUAUUGGAGAACUGUCGGUGACUCUUGUAGAUGCUCGGAAUCUGUCGUAUGCUUUUUAUGGCAAAACAGAUCCAUAUGUUAUUUUAAGCCUGGGAGAUCAAACCAUCUGCAGUAAAAAGAAUAGUCAAACCACAGUCAUUGGUCCUCCGGGUGAACCAAUAUGGAAUCAGGAUUUUCAUAUGCUCGUUGUGAACCCUAGAAAACAAAAACUGUACAUCCAAGUUAAGGAUUCUCUAGGAUUUGCAGAGUUGACCAUUGGAGAGGGGGAGGUCAAUCUGGGUUCUCUUCAUGACACUGUGCCGACAGACAGGAUUGUCGUCCUGCAUGGAGGUUGGGGACCAUUUAGAAAGGGGUCCUCUGGAGAGAUACUACUUCGACUAACAUAUAAAGCUUAUGUAGAGGAUGAAGAUGAUAACAGAAAUGAGGCACAUUCCACUUAUGUGGGCAUUUCUGAUGACGGGUUGUUUGAUUCCGAUCUGUCAAAUCAUACUGACAAGAAGGGUCAAAGUGGAACGGAUAAAGAAUCAUUUAUGGAUGUUCUAGCCACAUUGAUUAUGAGUGAAGAAUUUCAAGGGAUAGUGGCAUCUGAAACUGGAAAUCCCAAACUUUUAGAUGAUCUCUCAACUAUAGGGUCGAUGUUACCUAGAUCAUGUGGUCUUAAUGCUGAAUCCAUCCCCUUUAAUUGCACUGGUGUCCCCAAAGGUUAUAGAGGAUCAGCAUUGUUUUGGCUUGCUGCUAUUACAUGUGUAUCAGUGUUACUUGCUAUCAGGACUGGUGGCCCAGGUUUCUUCAAUCCUUGAUAUGCAACAGAGCUAGCAAAGAAGCAGGCUUGAUGAAAUUAAAGUCAAGGCGGAGAUUUAUAGCGAAGUGGCGAGUUGCUACACCUCAGACCAGAUUACCAUGAUGUCAGUAGCCUCUUGUUAUUGGCUUCAUGCCUUUAUAGCAAAUUUUUGUGAGAUUGUGAACGAAUAAUCUUUCCACACUGGCAAUGGAAUCAGCAAACGCUUUGCACUCAGUUGCCUUCGGUUACAUCUGUAAAUUCACAGUUAGUGGCAGAGAAAUGUUCUAUUGGCAGCAUGAAAGUUUUGGCCACUUUGCUCGAUCCAUAUCGAGUGUACAUCAAACUCUCUAAAGUCUAAAGGAGAACAGCCGUUUUUCGGAGCCAUGGUGACUGAUUUUCAACUUUUCUUGUUUUGGAUGUGGAGGUAAGUAAUGCUGAUCCUAAAGGAGCGAAAAAUUAGUAAUCACAUCUAGCAUUAGAAUGUUGUAGGAUGAAAGUUAGGCCCUAGGAAGUGGUUUUCAGAUGAGAAACAUUAUCUGUUUAUCUUGACCAAAACAUUUAUCAUGGGUCAUGGUUCCUUGUAUAGAUUUUUUAUUCAGAAUUUCGAAAGUCAUCUUGAUAAUAAUAAUAAUUGUAAUCACCGUCCCCUUGGGGUUAAGAAAACAAAGAGACUGAAAUGUUACUUGCCUUGAACAA